rnacentral:lncRNA from 1 species
ACUCACUACCACAAGACCAUCAUGGAACUGCCCCCGUGAUUCAAUUACCGCCACCUGGUGUCUCCCUUGACACGUGGGGAUUAUGGGGAUUACAAUUCAAGAAAAAGUGGUCCUGUUCUUCCCAUGGACACUAUCCCCAGAGUUUUAUUUUGGACUUCCAGAUUCGAGCAAGUCUAGAAAUGUUUAUUGGUGGUGAAUGUCCCAUAAACACCAAGAAUCCUCAGCUUCUGAAGACCCCAGUACACAAGGGUGCAAUUGGAACUGAGAAUCCACAAUGGCAACUUCCAAUGAAGAAAAGAAAAAUGGGGAGGAUGCAGCAGGCACUGUUCCAGUGCAAUUAACCAAGGCCAGUGGGAAGGAAAGUAAGACUCCUCUGUCCUGGCAGUGGAGGAAGGCUGUUAACUAGCCAGUCUAGAAGCCGUGGUUCUCCUGUUUCAAGGUCAUAUGCUGUUCUUGGCUCCAGGUUUCUCCUUCUUGCGUUUUCUCUUUGUUCCUUAUUUUCUAUGGCCACAACUUAGUCGGGCAUUAAAGGGUAUACUUUUCUUAGGAACUGGAAAGCAUUUAUAGGAGUCAAGAAUGCAAAUGAACUAAGUAAACUUCUCUGUUUUGGAAAUGUUGGAAAUGUAAAUAACUUUAGGGGAAACAGGAGGGAAAGGGAGAAGCGGUGGAGUGAGUGAGGACGCUGAUAACAGGACUGCCUCAUAUUCGUGUAGAGUUCUGUCUUUUGCCAGUGCAUCCGGAAAGUAUGUUCCGCACCGAAGGACCAUUUCUGAGUGGUCAUUUCCUGUAAGCAAAGUAAAGGGCUGAGUACCUUUGUGGGUUGAUUUAUUUCAAAACAAAGGCGUGAGGCAACAGUUAGCCAUGGUACUUUCCUUAAAGCAGAAGCUCAAAACCAGAAAUUGAUGAAAAAGUAAGCCACAUGAGUAUUUCUAAAUAUUGUGUGCUUGAGGAUGGGUGUUUACUGGACAUGGUCUGGUUCAUGUAAUAAGGGUUGGAGAUAAUUUUGAUUUGACAUUAAAACUUCUCACUUGACA